GACAGAGGGUGCAAACGUUGUUCGGAUUUACUGGGCGUAAAGCGCGUGUAGGCGGCUUUUGCAAGUCGGAUGUGAAAUCCCACGGCUCAACCGUGGAAGUGCAUCCGAAACUGCAUCGCUGGAGUCUCGGAGAGGAAGGUGGAAUGCUUGGUGUAGAGGUGAAAAUUCGUAGAUAUCAAGCAGAACACCUGCGGCGAAGGCGGCCCUUCUGGACGAUGACUGACGCUAAGACGCGAAAGCGUGGGGAGCAAACAGGG
rnacentral:rRNA from 1 species